rnacentral:tRNA from 1 species
AGGCGUGUGGCUCAGUGGUAGUGUACUUGCCCAGUACUCAUGAGGCUCUGGGUUCAAUCCCCAGCACCCCAA